GUGCAGAAAACUACAACCACAUCAUCAUUCCCACAGUGGUGGGGAUCGGUACUGCUGUGCUCUUUGGAGUCUUCUGCAUCUUAAUGGUGAAAAAAUACAAGACACGCAUUGCAGAGCUCUAACGUCGAGAUGGCAGCGUGUUGAAGCGGCUGUCCAGGAUGUCUCGCAGGAUUCGUUCCGAUGGCCCAGGACCAUCUCGUUCUGAUCAAAGGCAAG